AGUAACGGCGAGUGAAGCGGGAAGAGCACAAAUUUUAAAUCUACCUGGGUUUCCAGGUCGAGUUGUAAUUUGAAGAAACGUUUUUUACGUUCCGGGUUGGGUUAAAUCCUUUGGGAUAAGGUAUCAUGGAGGGUGAGAAUCCCGUGUAUACCAACCACUGGAAUGUUAUAAAUACGAUUUCUAAGAGUCGAGUUGUUUGGGAAUGCAGCUCUAAAUGGGUGGUAAAUUUCACCUAAUGCUAAAUAUAAGCGAGAGACCGAUAGUGAACAAGUACCGUGAGGGAAAGAUGAAAAGAACUUUGAAAAGAGAGUUAAAUAGUACGUGAAAUUGUUGAAAGGGAAACGGUUGAAGUCAGUCAUGCCGGUGGGAAUCAACUUAGGGGAAACUCUGAGUGCAUUUCUACACUUGGCAGGUUAGCGUCGAUUUUGGAUGUCAUAAAAUGACUGGGGGAAGGUAGCUCCUUCGGGAGUGUUAAGCCCUUAGUAGAUGUGAUGUUUAGGAUCGAGGAUUGCAACGGAUACCUUUUAGGCUAACUGCCUGAUCUCUAAUUUGAAGUUGGGUUAUGGACAGCAUGCUGACCGUGAUCUAAUUUUCGGUUAAAAGAUUAGAGCUAGUGUAAAUUCGUAAGGACGCGACUA
rnacentral:rRNA from 1 species